rnacentral:rRNA from 1 species
CCUACGGGAGGCAGCAGUGGGGAAUAUUGCACAAUGGGGGAAACCCUGAUGCAGCGACGCCGCGUGAGUGAAGAAGUAAUUCGUUACGUAAAGCUCUAUCAGCAGGGAAGAAACACUGACCUUACGGUCAGCAGACGGUCCCUGAGUAAGAAGCCCCGGCUAACUACGUGCCAGCCGCCGCGGUAAUACGUAGGGGGAAAGCGUUAUCCGGAUUUACUGGGUGUAAAGGGAGCGUAGACGGUGCGCCAAGUCUGGAGGGAAAGGCCGCAGCUUAACUGCGGAACUGCAUUGGAAACUGGCGAACUAGAGUGCGGGAGGGGUAAGCGGAAUUCCUAGUGUAGCGGUGAAAUGCGUAGAUAUGAGGAGGAACACCGGUGGCGAAGGCGGCUUACUGGACCGUAACUGACGUUGAGGCUCGAAAGCGUGGGGAGCAAACAGGAUUAGAUACCCUUGUAGUC